AACACCAGUGAGGACAGCAUUUGCUGAUGGCUUCUCUAGAUUGGUGCACCCAGUGACUUGGUUGUCCAUGUGCCUAGCUUGUGCUUUGGAAUGGUUUCUCUUUCCUUUUCCUUGCCUUUUUUAUUGGGUCCUAGAUGUAACCGCUGUGUCAUCCAUCUACAGUAUUUAGUUAUCAUUCAUUGGAAUUCUUUAGCUAGACGGUUUGGAACAGUGUAAUAGUUUGUGUAUUUACAGGUUCAUCAAGGAGAUGUAAUUUGUUUUGGAGAGUCCGUUUCUACGUCAUCGUAGUGACCUCUUGGGUUCAGUUUGUUCUCUGACUGGAGUCUUGCUGGCUUCUCUGACAGCGUUGCCCUUUCUCCUGUUGAGUACGAGCUGGCUUUUACAUGAAUCCUCUCUGUUCUUUAGGUCCAGGCAGAAAUGACCCACCAAGAAUCUGCUUUCUUUCCAGUCUUUUGCAACAAAAAUCUUUUGAACUCUUCUUUUAGUUUCUUGAUGCUUCAAGGUCUGGAUUUUAUCCUCUUACCUUAAGGCUAUUCGAAAGGCAGAUACGGUAUCUAUGGCUACCCAGUGUCUUCUCUACAUAGCAAUGAGUAGAAAACAAUAGCUUGUCAUCCACAAAAAGUUUGUGAUAUCCAAUUUUGUGUUCAUUUGAAUACUGAAAGCCUAAGCCAGGCUUGGUGGCAUCUCAGCACCUGAGAGAUGGUGGCAAGAUGAUCAGGAGUUCAGCACCAGCUCAAAGCUCCUGAAACCCUGUCUCAAAAAUAACAGGGGUUAAAGAGAUGACUUCAGUUCAGAGCAGCUCUUCUUGCAGAGGACCUAGGUUUGGUUCCUAGCACCCACAUGAAAGGUUUCUCAGAUGUAUAAGCAACUCACAACCAUCUAUAACUUCAGUUCAGAGCAAUCUGAUGCCCUCUUCUGGCUUCUGUGGGCACCAGGCACACAUACGAUGUACAUAUAUACAGGCAGGUAGAGCAUUAAAUAAAUACAU
rnacentral:lncRNA from 1 species